CCCCGACCCCGCCCCCAGCUGGUGCCUCGGGACCCUGUCCCUGCCGCCUGCGCACCUCGGCUCAUUGGCCAAAUACCCUAUUUUUUUUGAGGAAUUCCAGAACUAGACCCAGGGAUUGCCUACCAAUGAAGAGAAUGGGAAAUGCUGGAAAGCUAAUGGAUAUGCAAGACCUUUAGGCUCUAAGCUGAUAACAAUCAUUCUUUGAGGGAAUCAAUAAAGGAAACUCAGGGGAUCUAAAAGCUGCUGUAACAUACUAUGUCCCUUUGUCUGCAUGUUUGUCUGUAUCAGUCUAAUAAACUCUGCCAUAAGCAUUCA